rnacentral:rRNA from 1 species
UACGUAGGGUGCAAGCGUUGUCCGGAAUUAUUGGGCGUAAAGAGCUCGUAGGCGGCCUGUUGCGUCCGCUGUGAAAGCCCGGGGCUUAACCCCCGGGUCGGCAGUGGAUACGGGCAGGCUAGAGGUAGGUAGGGGAGAAUGGAAUUCCCGGUGUAGCGGUGGAAAUGCGCAGAUAUCGGGAGGAACACCGGUGGCGAAGGCGGGUCUCUGGGCCGAUACUGACGCUGAGGAGCGAAAGCGUGGGGAGCGAACAGG